GAGCAAUGAUGACUCCAACAUGCCAUCUGACUUGGCUUUGCUGAAAUCCAGAGGCUGUUUCUGAGCCG
rnacentral:snoRNA from 1 species